AUUGAACGCUGGCGGCAUGUUUUACACAUGCAAGUCGAACGGUAACAGCACUUCGGUGGCUGACGAGUGGCGAACGGGUGCGUAAUACAUCGGAACGUGCCUAGUAGUGGGGGAUAACUACUCGAAAGAGUAGCUAAUACCGCAUGAGAUCUAAGGAUGAAAGCAGGGGACCUUCGGGCCUUGCGCUACUAGAGCGGCUGAUGGCAGAUUAGGUAGUUGGUGGGAUAAAGGCUUACCAAGCCGACGAUCUGUAGCUGGUCUGAGAGGACGACCAGCCACACUGGGACUGAGACACGGCCCAGACUCCUACGGGAGGCAGCAGUGGGGAAUUUUGGACAAUGGGCGCAAGCCUGAUCCAGCAAUGCCGCGUGCAGGAUGAAGGCCUUCGGGUUGUAAACUGCUUUUGUACGGAACGAAAAGCCCUCUUCUAAUACAGGAGGGUCAUGACGGUACCGUAAGAAUAAGCACCGGCUAACUACGUG
rnacentral:rRNA from 1 species